AUUGAACGCUGGCGGCAGGCCUAACACAUGCAAGUCGAGCGGAUGACGGGAGCUUGCUCCUUGAUUCAGCGGCGGACGGGUGAGUAAUGCCUAGGAAUCUGCCUGGUAGUGGGGGACAACGUUUCGAAAGGAACGCUAAUACCGCAUACGUCCUACGGGAGAAAGCAGGGGACCUUCGGGCCUUGCGCUAUCAGAUGAGCCUAGGUCGGAUUAGCUAGUUGGUGGGGUAAUGGCUCACCAAGGCGACGAUCCGUAACUGGUCUGAGAGGAUGAUCAGUCACACUGGAACGGAGACACGGACCAGACUCCUACGGGAGGCAGCAGGGGGGAAUAUUGGACAAGGGGCGAAAGCCUGAUCCAGCCAUGCCGCGUGUGUGAAGAAGGUCUUCGGAUUGUAAAGCACUUUAAGUUGGGAGGAAGGGCAGUAAGCUAAUACCUUGCUGUUUUGACGUUACCGACAGAAUAAGCACCGGCUAACUCUGUGCCAGCCGCCGCCGUAAAAC
rnacentral:rRNA from 1 species